rnacentral:lncRNA from 1 species
GCAGGUUCAGUCCCAUUCCCCUUGGGACAUGGCACUGGGCAGCAGGGCUGGCAAGGAGGAGCUGUGCAGAGCCAGCCUCCCUCAGGGGCUGCUCGUGCAGCUCCCCACACUGUGCUGUCUUCCCUUGCGGGGCUGGGCACCUGAUCGCCUCUCCGUCGGCUUCGCUUGUGGUAGCUGAGCCUGUAAUGUUGGCUGGCAAAGCAACAAUCUCCACGUAUCACGAAGCAGCUUGCCAGGGGAGACGAGCAGGGCACGGACCCGGGCAUCCUGUCCUGCUGCACCCAGAGCAUCGCAUGAGCUCCCGGGCUCCACCACCACGGUGGGGACCUACUGCCAUCCGAGGGGGCCUGUGCUCAUUCCUUUGGGGGGCCAAAUCUAGGAGGCGAGCGCGCAUCGGAUGCCCGUCCCAGCGGCGUGCGGAGCCGGCGGGGGUAAGCGUGCCCGGCGGGGCACGGAGCGGGCGGAGGGGCUG